GUGAUAGUGUUGUCAUAUCAGUGAAAGUCAGAGUUGUCAAUUAUCAGUGAUUCCAUUAUGAAUAAUUUUAGUAACGCUGAAAUGGCUGGCAUGCACUUCAUUUAUGGAUUAGCAAAUGGAAAUGCAGAAGAAGCAUGGAGGAUAACAAAGUGGAUAAUUACUCUUGGCUGAUUUCUCAUCAUGGUGCUGAAUUGAAUUGAAUGAUGCCAGUAUCGAGUUCAGCUACGACAAAUCAUUUUGCUUCCCGAUACAAGCAAAAACCUAGUGUUUUCACAUUAUAAUGCAAUUUAUUAUUUUGGUCACGUUCUGGAAUAAGUCAUUGCUCCCGGAUGGUUGAAUGAAAUGAAUCAUUUGAGACGUACUACUUGCAAAUAUUCGCUUUUUGACAAAGAGUGCACAGAAAAGUGAGUCUCUCAACCGGCCUUACUACUGAAAGAAUCGGAAAGUUUUUCUAAAUGUAGCACUGGAUUUGAAAUUAUCCCACCUGAAAAGUUCAUCCAGAUAUUUUUGUGGUUCACUGGACAUUAGGCUGUUGGAUUCCGAGAUGUUGCAGACAGGUUCAAUGUUACAAUAAGUAAACUGCAUAUUAUAGAAGGAGUAUCAUACUUCAUUUCUGGUUUGUCAGAAAAAUUUAUCAGGUGGCCUACUGAUGAAAAAAAAUUAGAAAUUACUGAACAUUUCAAAACCAUGGGGUUUCCACGUGCUAAGGAAGUCAUAGAUGGCAGCUUCAUCAAAAUUGAUACCCCCUCUGAAGAUCCUGUAUCUUAUUAUUCUAUUCAUAACUUCUUCAAUGAACAUUUCUUUGCAUGUGCAAGCUGUAUGUGACCAUGAAAAAAGAAUCAGAUACAUACUCAUUGGAUUUCCUGGAUUAGUACAGGAUUCAAGCAUCAUCUCUUGAAGAAAAAUGUGGUGAUAAUUACAUUUUAGGAGACAGUGCCUAUCCAUGCAAGACAUUUAUUAAUACCAUUUGAAUUCAGAAAAAAAUUAUGUGUAACUGAGGAAGAGUAUAACAGAAAAUUAAGAGGUAAUUGAACACACAUUUAGUAUACUCAAAUAAAGAUUCAGGAUGUUGUAUCAUGUCAAAUUGACAAAAAUUGAAAACAUUUGCCACCUAAUUAGAGCUUGCUGUGUUUUAUAUAAUCUAACUAUUGAUGAGGAUAUCAGUUUGUAUUAGACAAGUGAAGCUAUUGUAAGAGAUAAUUUAGUAGCAGAUGAAGAAGAUGAAGAAACUAAUGAAGGUCAGAACAAACCAGGCCAUGCUUUCUGAAACUACAUAGCUAGUAUUUUAAAUGUUUAGAUUAUUUUUAAUUUUUUCAUGUAAAUUAAGUGUAAUGUAGAUU
rnacentral:lncRNA from 1 species